GGAGGGGUGGCUGAGCGGUUGAAAGCAGCAGACUUGAAAUCUGCCGUGGGGCUUGUCCUCACCAGGAGUUCGAAUCUCCUCCCCUCCG
rnacentral:tRNA from 3 species